rnacentral:rRNA from 1 species
AGCGAACGCUGGCGGCAGGCUUAACACAUGCCAGUCGAACGGGCUUCUUCGGAAGUCAGUGGCAGACGGGUGAGUAACACGUGGGAACGUGCCCUUCGGUUCGGAAUAACUCAGGGAAACUUGAGCUAAUACCGGAUACGCCCUUAUGGGGAAAGGUUUACUGCCGAAGGAUCGGCCCGCGUCUGAUUAGCUUGUUGGUGGGGUAACGGCCUACCAAGGCGACGAUCAGUAGCUGGUCUGAGAGGAUGAUCAGCCACACUGGGACUGAGACACGGCCCAGAAUCCUACGGGAGGCAGCAGGGGAGAAUAUUGGAAAAUGGGCGCAAGCCUGAUCCAGCCAUGCCGGGUGAGUGAUGAAGGCCUUAGGGUUGUAAAGCUCUUUUGUCCGGGACGAUAAUGACGGUACCGGAAGAAUAAGCCCCGGCUAACUUCGU